rnacentral:sRNA from 1 species
UCAUUUAGAACUAGAAAAAUUGCUAAGAAUGUCCUUUCAACACUACCCUUUUUCAAUUAUGCCCUUUUCUGUUUGUCAUUUUCAUUUAUAA